rnacentral:tRNA from 1 species
GGCGCAUUCGUCUAGUGGUUAGGACACGGCCCUCUCAAGGCCGCAGCAGGGGUUCGAAUCCCCUAUGCGCUA